rfam:Cavia porcellus supercont2_0 genomic scaffold, whole genome shotgun sequence.
ACGUGGUCGAUUUAGCGGCAUCUAGCUAGCAGGAGGGGGUCCGCUUCUUCCCUCAGUGCCCCAUGUGCAUUCCUCCAGAAGCUGGCCGGGUCAGUGGAAAAGGAUGACUGUUCCCCCUCCCCUCCAUAGAAGAAGACUUGUUUCCUUGGUUAAGGGUAUGUGAGUAGCUGCACUCCCCUACUAAAACUCCAAACAAGUUCUCAAGAAUAUGUAUCAUCUUUUUUUUUUUUUUUUUUAAAUACCUAACCGUUGUAAAUAUUU